AGCAUCUCGGCCACCGCUGGCACUGCUCCCCCUCCUGCCAAAGGUGAGGGGACAUGAGCAGCACUGAGCUCUCACUGCCUGCAUCCCAGCUGCUGCGUGGCAUCAGCAUUCUGUUGCAUUCUCCUUGCUACAUAUAUUGGCUUUUCAGAUACUUUCAGUUUUUUGGACUAACAUUCUUGUGUUUCCUAGAGGGUGCUGGGAAUGCAGAUGGAGGGUAUUUUCCCACAGGAUCCUUAUCCCAUUUAAUUCACAGGGCAGGCAUGCUUUAGAAAUGGAUCCAGAUUACAAAAGGAAGACUGUUAUCUGCAGGGCUUCUCCCUCCUUCUUUGCAGAAUUUGAAAAAGGAAUGAGGGAGGGAACUGCAGAAGGAGAAUGAAGUUCAUGCCUGCAGCUUCUAGCUCACAGCCAGACAUUUCACAUGUGGUCACUAAUUGUGAAGACUUCAUUUGUUGAAUGCCUGGCAGAGGAUCUGGCACUUGACUUCUAAGCAUUCCCAGAUACACAUCCCUGGAAGCCGAGUAAGUCUAUCUAACAUUACAUUUCUCUGCAGACCCUUGCCUCCUCAGGAAGGGCAACAAAAAUAAAUAAUCACUUCUGGUUUUUGUUCCUGUGGAUUUCACCAUCCCACUUCUACAAUGGGGCCAAUAUCCCCUUCAUACCACAGAAUCCACUGUUUUAAUGAUGCAUGGAUUAAUAUGAAGAAAUAUGUCUAUUUCAUGCCCAUUGCCACCCCUAGAAAACAUAUCUGCAGAAAUGGACCUGCCUGCCAUCAGAGCUGGGGUGGAAUGGGGUGCAAUAAAUCAGGUGUGGGGUCACUUGCAGAGCAACGAAGGGAUAAAGCAAUGCUAAUGACUGCUCAGCAAUUAAGCUUGUACUUACUGUGUGCACAGAGGGAGGCAGAAAAUGGAUCAUUUGAACAAGAAAUUUGGACCUGUAUAUGGGAAAAAAAGGGGGCCAAAUGAAGGGUAAUUGCCACUAAUACUGGUAUUUAAUACUGGCUAUUCAAUGCUUCAUUUUAUGGUCUUGAUAAAGGUUCUCUAAGAAUUACUUGUUAAA